rnacentral:rRNA from 1 species
AUGUCCGCCCUUGAUGGAAAGCAAUGGAGCCUCUUAAAUUCGGCUUUCAUCGUGCUUAUCCCUAAGAAAGACAAUACCCUCAGGCCACAUGACUUCAGGCCCAUCAGUUUGACUCACAGUGUUGCCAAGAUUCUCGGAAAACUCCUUGCUAGCAGAGUGGCUCCCCAACUGCAGCACAUCAUCUCAGUAAGCCAAAGCGCUUUCCUAAAGGGCAGAAGUAUUCAGGAUAAUUUCCUCUAUGUCCAGAAUCUCAUCCAGUGCCUACACCGUGACAAGAAGCCCACCAUGUUCUUGAAACUUGAUAUUGCAAAAGCUUUUGAUUCUGUCAAGUGGGAUCACCUGUUGGAUGUUAUGAAACAAGUGGGAUUCAGUCAGAGAUUCAGAGACCUAAUUGCAAUUUCCCUCGCCUCAACCUCCUCGCGUAUCAUUCUUAAUGGGGAGCCAGGUUCUCCUUUCUUUCACCGAUGUGGAUUGAGGCAGGGCGGCCCUCUGUCACCUCUUCUCUUCCUGCUUGCCAUCGACCCACUUCAGAGAAUUUUGGAGAAGGCCACAGAGGAGCACAUUCUUAGUCCCAUCAGCCACCGAUCGGCCUCUGUGAGGAUCAGCCUGUACGCAGAUGAUGCCGCACUCUUCUUAAACCCAAGCAAAACGGAGGUGGCUGCCCUCCAAGAAAUUUUGGCUGCUUUUGGCAAUGUUUCAGGGCUCUGCACCAACUUCAACAAAUCUGCUGCAUACCCAAUUGCUUGUGAGGAAGAG